GAAAAGAAAUGGCUAUGCCCCAAUCUAAGAUAUCCAUACCAUGUCAGAAUCCCAUAACCAUACAUAUGGUCAAAGUCAGAGAGCUGAAAACACUACAAACAUUCAUUCCUAGAACAACAUCGAUUUUAUUCCGCAACAUCCAAUAUCCACAAAAAACUGAUAUAGGCUAUGCCCUAGUGUGUACAUUUGAUAUGCAAAUGCCUCGGUAAAAAAACAACUCUGAAAUAUAUCACUGAAGACCCAAUCAUCUGGAUAAGAGCACACGACAAAGUAUGGGGUAUGCCCUAGUGUGCACACCCAUUGGGUCGACGAAUACACAUGAAUCUGAUCUCGGGCCAUCUCUUAGAAGCAAGUUGUUGUAUGAAGAAACCAAGCUAAAUGUGGGGGCCUACUCAAACAUUGAUGCCAAGCGUCACCAGGUGAAAUGGGCUGCCUGCGUCCUAGUGUAAGAACUGAUGCCAUCAUGCAAGGAUAAGGGUAUGCCCUAGUAUGAAUAUAACAAACUAGCAAGCGGAGGGGGUCCUGGACAAUCUUGAC
rnacentral:lncRNA from 1 species